rnacentral:rRNA from 1 species
GACGUAGGGUGCAAGCGUUGUCCGGAUUUAUUGGGCGUAAAGAGCUCGUAGGCGGUUUGUCGCGUCUGCUGUGAAAACCUAAGGCUCAACCUUGGGCUUGCAGUGGGUACGGGCAGACUAGAGUGCGGUAGGGGUGACUGGAAUUCCUGGUGUAGCGGUGGAAUGCGCAGAUAUCAGGAGGAACACCGAUGGCGAAGGCAGGUCACUGGGCCGCAACUGACGCUGAGGAGCGAAAGCAUGGGGAGCGAACAGG